rnacentral:rRNA from 1 species
UACAGAGGUCUCAAGCGUUGUUCGGAUUCAUUGGGCGUAAAGGGUGCGUAGGCGGCGCGGUAAGUCGGGUGUGAAAUCUCGGAGCUUAACUCCGAAACUGCAUUGGAUACUAUCCGGCUCGAGGAAUGGAGGGGAGACUGGAAUACUUGGUGUAGCAGUGAAAUGCGUAGAUAUCAAGUGGAACACCAGUGGCGAAGGCGAGUCUCUGGACAUUUCCUGACGCUGAGGCACGAAAGCCAGGGGAGCAAACGGG